UUGUACUUUCUUUUCAGACGCACAACAACAACCAUGUGUGAAUGAUGAGAUCUCAUCCAUCACAUCAGUUAAACAAAAGUUGGAAAUCCGCGAAACAGCGCAUGUGAGGCCCAGUCAUUUGAGCCGAUAGUGUUCCACUUCAUUGUUCCCUAGCUGUAGAGUUGUUGGAGAAAACCCUGUAUUAUUAUGUUACAAAGAUAAUUUAAUAAAGGAGUAGAAUUUA